rnacentral:rRNA from 1 species
UACGAAGGGGGGCUAGCGUUGCUCGGAAUUACUGGGCGUAAAGGGAGCGUAGGCGGACAGUUAAGUCAGUGGUGAAAGCCCAGGGCUCAACCCUGGAAUAGCCUUUGAUACUGAUUGUCUUGAGUAUGGGAGAGGUAUGCGGAACUCCGAGUGUAGAGGUGAAAUUCGUAGAUAUUCGGAAGAACACCAGUGGCGAAGGCGGCAUACUGGCCCAUUACUGACGCUGAGUGAGCGAAAGCCAGGGGAGCAAACGGG